rnacentral:lncRNA from 1 species
AAAAAAAAAACGAGAGCAGGUUUUCAUAAGUAGACUCCUCUUAUGUAAGCUCCACCCUCGGCAUUGCCCUUUGUAUAUAUUGCUGCUGGAAACAUGGAAGGAGGAUGGAGGAGGUGCAGCUGAACAUGGAAGAGGAGCAGCAGACCAACAAAGGAACGGAGUUUAGUCUUCUCCAGUGCAAAGGGACAUGGAAACGCCAAAAGGCCUCGCGCCACGGUCUUAAGGGACGUGUCUCAGCUUCAAAAAUCUGUGAAAGCACCUCCUCUCAUGGCACUUCCUGGACAGUGGUGAGUCCCAUCACCUUCACCUACACUGUAACCCAAACACAUGACCUCCUAAACCCAAACAACGACACCCUCCUGAUGGGCCACAUCCGAGACCCCGAGCGGCUGGAGGCCUUCCGCUCCAACACCAAGCCUAUAAAGCGAUUCGUGGUCAUGGACGAGACUGUCUACAACCUCUACGGUUCUCAGGUCACUGACUAUCUGGAGGCAAGAAACGUCUUGUACAGGAUCCUGCCCCUUCCCACCACGGAGGAAAACAAGUCCAUGGACACGGUGCUGAAGAUCCUGGAAGAGCUCCACAGGUUCGGCAUCGCCAGACGCACUGAACCCGUCAUCGCCAUCGGUGGAGGCGUGUGUUUGGACAUCGUGGGAUUGGCUGCUUCCCUCUACAGGAGACGAACCCCCUACAUCCGUGUCCCCACCACCCUCCUGUCCUACAUUGAUGCCAGCGUUGGUGCCAAGACCGGCGUGAACUUCGCAGAUUGCAAGAACAAGCUGGGGACCUACAUCGCUCCUGUUGCUGCGUUUCUGGACAGAGCUUUCAUCCAAAGCCUUCCCCGCCGGCACAUCUCCAACGGACUCGCAGAAAUGCUGAAGAUGGCACUCAUGAAGCACAAAGGCUUGUUUGAGCUUUUGGAGACCAAGGGAAGGUUUCUGCUGGACUCCAAGUUCCAGUCGACCACUGGACUGCGUGGGAAGGCUGAUCCAGCAUCAGUGUCCACAAGGCUCGCGAUAGAAACCAUGCUGGAGGAGCUGGCCCCAAACCUGUGGGAAGAUGAUCUUGAUAGACUGGUGGAUUUUGGGCAUUUGAUCAGUCCUGAGCUGGAAAUGAAAGUCCUGCCUUGCCUGCUGCACGGUGAGGCAGUGAAUAUCGACAUGGCUUAUAUGGUGUACGUGUCGUGUGAACGGGGUCUCCUGACGGAGGUGGAGAAGCUCAGGAUUAUAAGCUGCAUGCUGAGAUUAGAGCUGCCUGUGUGGCAUCAGGACUUCACCUUCGCUCUGCUGCAGAAAGCUCUGUCUGAUCGGCUGCAGCACUCUGGAGGCCUGGUGCGCAUGCCUUUACCCACCGGCCUCGGGAGAGCAGAGAUAUUUAACGACACCUGUGACAACACUCUCUACAGCGCGUACGAGAAGUGGUGUGACGAGCUGAGCUCUGGGUCGAAGGAGUAGCUGCUCAAACUCGCAAACUCUGAAUCUAACUUUACUCUCAGCAAAAGUUCUCAUCAUUUAAAGGUGCUGUAAAAGUUUAGUUCUCUUUUGAUCUUUAUAAGAUCAUAAAUCUCAUAAAUGUCUUGGAAGCUUGAGAAACACAGCGACGUGUGUCACGGUGGCUCAUGCAGUUUACAUGAGAAAAAAAAAGAUUUCACAGUAGUUUUGACACGUAGCACAAAUAACAAUGGAGGGCUUUGGAAGAAAAAGCCUAGUGCAUUGUUUUUUUGUUGUUAGUUUUAUAUAAAAGCUGCGUUUUUAAAGUGAUCGUGUGAAAUAGCUGCUUACUAGCUUCCAUGCUGCAGCACCACUUGCUCGCUGUUGUGUAACACAGAUACCUGUGACGCAUUGCACAGGUACAACACUGUACAUCAUAUUAAAUUACAUCACAUUUAGAAGAAGCUUUUAUCUAAAGAAACUUACAAAUGAUGAGGUACAUUAGCUAUAGAGGAUAAAAUAAUUCAGGGUAAAAAUGAAAACAUUCAGCAGAGCCUGAAAAAGGCCAAUCAAUGAUCUUACAGUGUUCAAUUGGUCAAAAAUAGUCAGAGACUCUUUUUGAAAGUGUGAAACAUUAUUUUGAACUAUUUGCUGUUUUAUGUUUUUAACACUGUAUGAUUUUUUGUCUCUUAUACUGAAAAAAAAAAAAAACGGUAACAAGAACAAUGUGCACAGGUUAUGGGUUUCAAUAUAGAAUACUUUUAUUCUAAAAUGUAAUCCAAAGUAUUAAAUGCUGUAAACUUUUACAAAAAUGUUUUUGAAAUGUAAAUACUACUAGACAUACAGUAUAAAUAUACUAUUCUUGACUAAACUAAACAGAG